rnacentral:lncRNA from 1 species
CCCACCCUCAAGUGAUCCACCCGCCUCAGCCUCCCAAAGUGCUGGGAUUAGAGGCGUGAGCCACGAUGCCAGGCCUAACUCUGUCUUUUUCAUAGACUCUGUAACAAACCCAUUUUGUUAUUAAGAGCAACGCUGUAGAACAAUGAAAGAGUCCAACUUAGAAGUCCUGCUGUGCCCUUUUCUGGGCACCUUUUUAAAGUCACAUAAUGUCUCUAACUUGUAUCUUCAGUUAAGAGCGAGGGCUUUGGGGCAGUGGACUGAGUUUGAAUUCUGGCCUUGUCCAGCUGUGAGGCCUUGUGCAAGUUACUUAACCUCCCCGAAGUCACUUUCCUUACCAGUAGAAUGGGAAUCAUUCCUGUGUCUCUACCUGUCUACUCGAUUAGAUCUUGGAAAAGGUCUCCUCUACUCAUGGUGUAUAGUCAACACCAAAAACAAAUACCUGCAAGAGAUGAAGGGUCGCUUAUGUUUUUGACUCUGUAAUGAUUUCACCAGGAGAAUCCUCAGUAUACAAGUAAACAUCCACUAGGCAUGGUCUUUAUUUGCACAGCCUUUGUGCUGGCUCAGGUUGUUACUCUGAUUACUGAUUUUUCCUCGAGAGGAAGUAUAACAUAAUGGCUUAGCGCUCAGACCUGGAAGCUAGAUUAAAUCCUAGCACUGCCCUUACUAGCCAUGUGAUCUUGGGAAAACUACUUAAAACCUCUCUGAGCCUGUUUCCCCAUCUCUAAAACGGGCUUAAUCCAGAGUAUCUACCCCAUAGGUUGGUUGUGAGAAUUAAAUAAGCUCUUACAUGUAAAGCAGAGUGUUUUGGCACACAGUGUGCAGUGUUAGUUGGUAUUAUCAUCUUCAGGGCAUCUCUAGGGGACGAACUCCAAAAGCCAUGGGUGCGUGUGUGUGUGUGUACAUGUGUGUACACACGUGUGUUUGCACACACAUUCACGCACGUGUAUAUGUGUGUUCAUGGCAUACAGAAGUCUCCUUGCUUCUUUUUCUCUCUCCAGAGAUUUAAUUAUCACCUUCUUUUUUAAAGAGAAAACUAGGAUAUUUACUUCAGUGGAUGCUUUAAGGCCCAGAAUUUAUAUCAGAACCCUUGCUUCUACUGAGCUAAUCUUGCCCUUAAACUUCUAUGUAGUGUUUCUUCUGUGAAGCCACAGUUCUAUCAUUCCUCCAGGAAGAGAUUGAAGUACUCAUGGAGCAUCUCCUGUGCAGAGGCAGUAGGAUGGGAAGCCAGCAUAGGUUCUCCCUAAAGGUAGAGUGAGUGAAUGGAAAUAACUGGGAAGAAAACAGAAAGAAAAGGCAAAAAAAGAGGUAUGUAUGAAGGUGGCAAACAGAUAUCUUGGGUGGUCAUUUCCAUUUUGCUGUGGUCUUCAUAGCAUGGCCUGUUACCAGGCAAUAAAUUUCAAAUUGUUGGUGUGGAAAAUGUGAUAAUGCAAAGGAAUAGGAUCCUUUGCUUUCAUUAUUUCAAAAAUAAGUGCCAAUUACUCUCAAAGACAGGGUAAGAAGUAUUCCUGGAGCAAGCUGGAAUUUGUCCCUUUGGGAGCCAAGGCCACAGCUUCUGGUACUUUGCACACAGACCUGCAGUCCCACUAGGGAGGGGCUGCUGUGUCUGCAGCCAGGCCGAUGCCAGCCUCACAUGCCCACCCCUUCCUGGCCCUGGAGCCAGCUCUCUGUACCACUCCUUAUGUUGCUCUUUGCUCUUCCCUUCAUCUUUCUCCUCUAUUUUCCUUCUCUCACCAUUACAGAGAGGUCAUCCUGAAGUGUCUGGGCUGCAGUAGGAGCUGCCAAACAUUCACGAACCACCACGUUCACAUUAGAUGCAGAGAUAAAACUGCACAAAGUCUCAAUACACUAUUUUGCAUCACUCAUCUGGGACAAAGUAAAAUUUUUCAAAGUCAACUCAAAAGAGGAAAACAAAAGUGAGUGGAAUAUAAACAGUACGGCAUGUGGCACCUGAACAGUCUUCAUGCCCAGGAAUCCCAAAUGCUGUUUACUCUACAGAAAGGAAUCACUUGAUUUUCCACUUCAGAAGCCAACCGCUCAACAACACUGGGGAAGAAAUGAAGAAUCCUGGGUCUCCUUGUAGUCGAUCAAGAAAUUUUGGGGGGAAAAAGGGAAGACAACCCCUAAUUCAGAGUGUGCAGUUUGGGAUUUAUUGAACUUACUUGAAAAACAAAAGCAAACAAAACUUUUUCUCGCUUCUGUAAAUGUUCACAUUUUCUUUUAAAAAUAAUGAUGCAGUAUUGCAAAUGGCUUACA